UGCACUGCAAUACUCAGAUUGGUAUGAGUCACUUCCUAAAACAUGUUACUCCAUUCAUUCUGAGUAGAGCAAGGCACA
ensembl:miRNA Mir880 microRNA 880